rnacentral:lncRNA from 1 species
CCCUCUUCGGUUUCUGUACCGCCCACAGUUACCAAAAUCGGCAGAUGUGCCGCAAUCAUCUGCGAGAAAAUAGGUGAUACAGGGCCCGCAGUACGUAUCGCCGUUGCCAGAUCCAUCGGAUGCGCAGCCCUGCACUAGAAUGACGUCCUCUGUACCCGGCAGAACGUUGAAUAUCUUUGAAUAUAGAAAAAUAUCGGUCGUGAACGAUGGCCUCGUCGAGGUGUAACAUGAUUUUGUUCGUCGUCCAGUCCUAUUGUCGGCAUGAAGGCAAAUACAAGAGAGCAACAGACCGAACGGUUUAAGUUCAAACACAAUGGCUACGUCGACUCUUCGUGAAAAGAAAACUUGUAAAUACCUGAUUAAAACUUAUUCGCUGCGAAGAAAAAUUUUUUUAAUCAACAGGAUCUGGAACAUUCACGAAAAGGAAACACGAGAUCAAGUACCAGUCUGUUGAUCAAGAAAGCUCAACAAGCUAUUCAUACACGAUGCUAUUAUAUAAUAUCUAUAUAACUUCAUGCUAUUUGUAUGCCAAUACACGGAAGACAUCCGAUCGUAACGUGCCCUAAACACGUCCUACUGUUCCUCGAUUAGAGAAAUACACUUGAGUUAACAUGCUGUAGCAAUUUUAAGAUCCCUUUAAAUCAGCUCUAAGAGACCAAAUCUAAAAAAUAGCUUCUUUAUUCAUACAAGUUGUACAAUGUUUACAUUUUCAAAUAUAUAUUCAUAUUAUAGACCCUUCCAAAUUGCGCAAGAGAAACAUACAAUUCUUGAAGACCGCAAACGUCAAAAUAGAUCAUAUUGAUUUUUAUACGUGACUUCAAUAGCCAUAUGAUACUAUGUAGAUACGCCAUUCACCGCGUACCUAUUUUUUUUUGAUACUUAAAAUAAUUCCAUUUGUAUUUAGACUACGAAUGGCAGGUUUAGGGAGCUCUCCUAAACUCUUUCAUGCCACAAACAGUACUCUCAAUGUAUUUGAAACAUGAAUAUUUAUGCAAUCACGCAUGCAAUUCGAUUGAUCACAAGCAGUCUGAUGAGGGGAGCAGUCUGAAGCACUCAGGGGUGGCCCAGCUUCCCUGUAUACGAAAGCAGUGGCAUCACCGAUGUAGUGAUCGGUAAUAGGUGCAAGGCGCUGUCCGAGGACAAAGUUUAAAUGCAGAAACAGACAAAGAUUCACCACUGAUGGCUUGCCCCCGAUAGCCGCUUAUUGCACUGGUGACGUUCUGCAUAUGGUUUCAUAUAUAUAGUCGACUAUAUUAUACAUUCAGAUUAUCGGGUUGCGGAAAAGUACUGACCGUUUUAAGCGCAAAAUUGAAGCAUAUUAAAUGAGUACUACUAAAACAAAUACAUAUCAUUAUUUCCACCUUCUGCUGUAUUUAUGGUCAUAGCAUAAUCCUAUCAUUACGGAAUUUCUGUUCUGUUGCUUUUUCGGCGAGCUCUGGUGUGAUAUUGAAAAAAGUUAUUCCAAGUUUUGUCGGAUAGCUAAAGAUAUAGGCCGUCUGGCAAUGUCAUGAUGGAAUACGAUGCUUUCUCUGUUAACUAGUUGCGAACGUUUUGUUUUUCAAUAGUUUUUUUAUUAAUUUAUUCUAGUUAUAGCGGAGGUCCGACUCGACCGUUUUAGCAGGCGCCGACAGCUCAGUUGCACGAUUCCCUUCAAAUCCCACCAAAGCUAUAGGUUAACCUUCUUAGGCGUCAGUCUGAGCCUCGCAACAAACUGUGGAGCAUAUUUUUUUUUCUUUACCUGCAUAUUACUGUCGAAUCUGAUCCACUUUUCGUCACCCGUGAUCAACCAGUUUAAAAAUGGCCUGAUUUCAUUACGUUUUACCAAAAUUCCACAGGUGAAAAUACAAUAGAACAAACGAUUUCGUGUCAAAUGUGUGCCACCUAAACAUCGAACCAGCUUCUUUCCAAUGGUGUAAAGCUGCUUCGUGGUAAAUGUUCAGUCUCUUGGUGUUAUUAUGCAAUAAUUUUAUCGACUUUUUCGUGUUCGGUCAACCGGUACAAGGGGUAACUUUAAUAUCGAAUUUCCCAGAACGGGAAUGAGAGAAGGACCUUGUAAUCAUUUCCUUCGGACGUAUCAUCAAUAAUUUUUUUAUGAGCCUGAAGCCUUUAUCGUAAUAAAACUGUAAAAUAUAUUAAAAAUUUCAUCCAUCCUCAAGGCAUUCCAACAUAAUCUGCUAUCGCCGUAUCUCAGCUAAAAGCAAAUAACAGCAAUCACCGCGACCCUGAGAAAGGUAAUUUUAAAAGCAUCCAGCUAGUAAAACGGUCAAUACUUUUUUCGACAAUCUAACGUGUUCCGGUUUCUAGUAGUAGUAGUUCGAGUAUUAAGGGCUACACUGCUGCUCUGUGCAAAGCAAAAUAAUUGCGGAUAUAAAAUGUUAAAUGUCUUUACCUCUAUAGUAAUGGAUUUUCUGUGAACCCGUAACCUGGCCUGAAUACAUAAAUACACGUUUGGUUAGUAUUAACCCAGUUGUUACGAGUGUUGACUAUUCGGGCCCAACAAAAUUUUCUUUCUCUCUUCCUCGACAAGUACCCGCCGUCGAAUAGCAAUGAAUCAGUGAAAAAAAACAAUAUAUCUACUUACGCUUGACCGCGCGUGUCUACCACAAUAAAGGACAUAUCGAUACAGAUACUGAUUUGCAAUUCCCUCAACGAGACAGUAGCACUGAAUCAGAAUAAACACGGUAAUAAAAUUCAACUUAUCAGACCAGUACAACUUAGUCCUAAAUCACAAAUGUAUGUUCACCGAUCAAUGACAUACUUUCCUAAAACUACCGCCCUACUUAGAGACAGUCUUCCAGAGAGGUCUGCAGGAGCUCGUGUAUAAGAUGACCACUUAGCGGCAUCAUAGCGAUUUUUCUUCGACGAACAAUCUACGAAUAUCAGUCACCUAUGGCGCCGAUUGACUAGAACGGACCUAACGUCGCUCGCCCAUCCGGUCAAUACCGUUCACAGCCGUGUACACUAAAUAAUAAGCUUAUACUAUAGCAAACGCGUAUAGGGAUAUCAAUACGCAUCACCCUGUUGGCAUUUGGAUCCAAACCUGUACUUUUAUGUGAAGCCUAAAUGCCACUUUCAUCUGAGGAUAACGUUUACGAUAGGCCCAAAUGACGAUCCUUAUUGUUGAAUCGACUUUAAAUCGAAUGAUGUCUCUAAUUUUGAACUUACAGGUACCUAUGUUUGAUAAUUAACGCUAUGCAUGAAGCACACCGACGCACGCGUCUUGUGGCCUAAAAAUUCGGCCCAUUGUAAAACUGGUUGUUUAGCGUGAGUAGUGCGAUAAUUUCGCUAAAUAACAUAUAAUGUAAAAAGCUUAAGAAGCAGUACGCAGCUUAGGCCCAUUUAAUACAGAAAAAUGGUUCCUCUCUACAGAUGUGUACCCAGGCAACGAAUAAAUAGCGCGUCCAUCAACAUUUUUACCCUCGUGCUCGAAAAAUGAGACCAGGUGGAUGGAUAUAUUAAUGAUUUCUGUCGCAGCUGAUCCAAAUCACUCUCGCUACCUGUGUCAGUCCUGCCUAAGGCUAAGGCGUUCUAUUUUCAGCUAUAUAGUUUCCCCGUAAUGUGUUCGCCAAGUUUGAGAGAAACUGGUUUAGCAAACACAUAAUUGAAGUUUGUUUUCUGUGGAUGUGCCGAGAUAGGCUCAUCUUUUGAAACAAAAAUAACGUUUAGUUGUCGUAUCGAAACCAUUCCCCGUCAUAUACAACAAUUCGAUUCAAACAAUCACAAUAAAGCUAGCUCGGCAGCAGUGGAAACUAACAAACCCACGUGUUUACCGAACUCUGCCGACUAACUUGCCACUUGUACGCUUUUCUUAUCGGGUACAGUCGAUUGCCCAUGGUGGAUUCUGAUCCAUACGACCUCUUAAAGUCUACCGUCUAUAGUCUGAUUAAACAUUACUUCGGAAACGGCAAAACACGCGCCACUGGCUGCGUGGUCCCACAUGUGGUCCUGUUACAACACUGGGAACAUUCGUGCGCCUCUUUGCUCAUUGUUAAGGCUCGACGAUCUGAUGUCUCAGAUCAUAAUCAUUCUCUAUGCCUUUACACUAAUAGCUUACACGCGAAGUUUACCUGUGGUAGUAAUUUUUUUUUUGAGGAAGACCCUUGUAAAACACAUUAGCACGCAUAUCUAGAUUCGAACGCUUCACCUAUGUGGAAAUAGGUGCGCUAUUCAA